ACAUCAGUGCCUGACGAUGUCUUCAUUGUAUGCCUUUGGCUCUUUCUUCAUCAGUCUUUACUGUAAGAUGUCAAACUUCAGGUCAGGUGAGUGCUGUUACAUUUCAGCAAUCUCCUUCACAGAUAGUGGCAGAGAAAAGUGAAGUCCAGAUCGAUUGCAGUCAUAAUGAUGGGAACCUUCCUGUAAUGCUCUGGUAUCAGCAUAUAAAAGAAAAUCAGUCUAUGACCCUCAUUGGGUAUGGGUAUCAAAAUACCCGCCAAACAUUUGAGGGUCAGUUUGAAGAACAAUUCAAGUUGACAAGAGGAAGCGCAACAACAGGAACACUUACUAUUCCAAGCGCAGAACUGUCACACUCUGCUGUUUACUUCUGCGCUGCCAGCACACAGUGAUGUGGCUUAAUGCCACUCCCUUACUAAAAGCAUUUUUCCUACACCUGCAGGUGUGAUGUGUCUCUUACAGACUUUCGCUGAUAAAAACCGUGUUUAACCUGCAACAACACAAACUUGGAGGAUGUCAGCUGUGAUCGGGUUUCUUCUCAUUUUCCUUUCAAGUCAAGCCAGCAGUGUGACCUUUCAACCAUCUCAUCCAAGAAUAGUCAAUGAAACAUCCAAUGUUGAAAUUACAUGCAGUCAUGAUAAAAAUGACUUCUAUCUAAUGCUUUGGUACCAGCAAAAAGAAAAUGGUUUAAUGAGCCUCAUAGGAUACAGCUACUUCGGCAAUGCCCCUGUCAAGGAAGAACAAUUUGACAAUCGCUUUGUGAUUACAAGAGAAAAUAUCCAAACAGGAGCUCUGAGCAUCAGCAGCUUGAUUGUAUCAGACUCAGCCAUGUACUUCUGUGCUGCCAGCACACAGUGAUGUGUUUUGGUGUAAUGCCAAUGCUAAAAACCUUGUUCUUUCUGAACCAGGCUGCUGAAAUGUGCCUC